rnacentral:tRNA from 1 species
UUCCCUGUGGCUCAGCUGGUAGAGCAUGGUGUUUGCAACGCCAGGGUUGUGGGUUCGAUUCCCACAGGGGGGC